rnacentral:misc_RNA from 1 species
AACGCACAUUGCGCCCAUUAGUAUUCUAGUGGGCAUGCCUGUUCGAGCGUCAUUUCAACCCUUAAGCCUAGCUUAGUGUUGGGAGACUGCCUAAUACGCAGCUCCUCAAAACCAGUGGCAGAGUUUUUACGUACUCUGAGCGCAGUAAUUCUAUUCUCGCUUUUGAAAACGUCUAGACGAUAGCCAAAAACCGCAUGCUUCGGCAGCACUUUUUUAAUGGUUGACCUCGGAUCAGGUAGGAAUACCCGCUGAACUUAA